rnacentral:rRNA from 1 species
UACGGAGGGGGCUAGCGUUGCUCGGAAUCAUUGGGCGUAAAGAGCGUGUAGGCGGCUUGUUAAGUCUUGCGUGAAAUCUCGGGGCUCAACCCCGAGCGGUCGUGAGAAACUGGCAGGCUAGAGUGCGGGAGAGGAGAGUGGAAUUCCUGGUGUAGCGGUGAAAUGCGCAGAUAUCAGGAAGAACACCCGUGGCGAAGGCGGCUCUCUGGAACGCAACUGACGCUGAGACGCGAAAGCGUGGGGAGCAAACAGG